GCAGCUGUUUGGCGACUACGAGUGAGAGCUUAAAAGUCAAAGUACUUGGCGGCUUUCUAAUCUAAUCAGGGGAAUAUGCCAUUUGAGUCCGAUGGUCCGCGGAAAUCUUACCCCACCUUGCAAAAGAGUCAGUCAGUGUACUGCCGUUGUCAGCUGGUUGCGAGGAAGCAAAUUAAAAGCGGCUCAAUGAAGGACUGGUUUUCAUGAAUUCAGGUCGAAGCGCUGCCUAUGGUGGGAGAUUUGGGGUAUUACAUUUCGGAUUUGGGGAAAAAUAACGGAUUCGGAGUUGCAAAACUUUAUUUACGAGGAAGAUGAACUUGAAAGUAAGGAAUGUUUUUAUAAAAAGAGAAUAGCAUGCUCUCCUGAAUAAGCGCUGGAUUGCGUACAAAUCGCCCGUCGCUCUCGCUAUAAGAAGAAGGGGAGAUAAGUCGUAA
rnacentral:rRNA from 1 species